CCUACGGGUGGCAGCAGUGAGGAAUAUUGGUCAAUGGGCGAGAGCCUGAACCAGCCAAGUAGCGUGAAGGAUGACUGCCCUACGGGUUGUAAACUUCUUUUAUAAAGGAAUAAAGUGAGGCACGUAUGCAUUAUUGUAUGUACUUUAUGAAUAAGGAACGGCUAACUCCGUGCCAGCAGCCGCGGUAAUACGGAGGAGCCGAGCGUUAUCCGGAUUUAUUGGGUUUAAAGGGAGCGUAGAUGGGUUGUUAAGUCAGUUGUGAAAGUUUGCGGCUCAACCGUAAAAUUGCAAUUGAUACUGGCAGCCUUGAGUACAGUUGAGGUAGGCGGAAUUCGUGGUGUAGCGGUGAAAUGCUUAGAUAUCACGAAGAACACCGAUUGCGAAGGCAGCUUACUAAACUGCCACUGACAUUGAUGCUCGAAAGUGUGGGUAUCAAACAGGAUUAGAUACCCGGGUAGUC
rnacentral:rRNA from 1 species